AAAUGAAUAGACGGGGGCCCGCACAAGCGGUGGAGCAUGUGGUUUAAUUCGAUGAUACGCGAGGAACCUUACCAGGGCUUAAAUGUAGUCUGACAGGGGUGGAAACACCUUUUUCUUCGGACAGAUUACAAGGUGCUGCAUGGUUGUCGUCAGCUCGUGCCGUGAGGUGUCAGGUUAAGUCCUAUAACGAGCGCAACCCUUGUCGUUAGUUGCCAGCGAGUAAUGUCGGGAACUCUAGCGAGACUGCCGGUGCAAACCGUGAGGAAGGUGGGGACGACGUCAAAUCAUCACGGCCCUUAUGUCCUGGGCUACACACGUGCUACAAUGGCCGGUACAGUGGGCAGCCACCCCGCGAGGGGGAGCGAAUCCAUAAAGCCGGUCUCAGUUCGGAUCGGGGUCUGCAACUCGACCCCGUGAAGCUGGAAUCGCUAGUAAUCGCAGAUCAGCCAUGCUGCGGUGAAUACGUUCCCGGGCCUUGUACACACCGCCCGU
rnacentral:rRNA from 1 species